GCCCUGAUUCUGCAAUUGAAUCCAUGUGGCUGCACCCUUGAAGUCAACAGCGGCUUUCUGUGGAUGUAAGGGUCCAGUAGUGCAGGUCUGACUGCAGGUUUAGUACCUACAUUAAAGUAUCAACAGUAAACACUGUAGAAACAAGGAGAAAGUCCCUGUCCAAGGACCUUUCAUUCUAGUACCAGCCACAGAAGAGACAAAUUCAUCUUGUGGGUAUGCAGGUGCAAUUCUACCUCAAGCUCAAGUAAAAGGAUUGAUUUAUGAAGAAAGACUAAAAGAGCUAAAUUUGUUCUACUCUAUAUAGCUAUACAAAGCAAUGACCAAGAGUUGGGAAAUGAAAAGUGGGAAAAGACAUGAUAAAAGUCUACUAAUAUUUAAAUAAUGUAAACACAAAGGAGAGAGUAGUAGUAUUAAGAGUGAUAUAAAGGCAGCUUGCAUAUAAGUAAUGGGAUGAAAUUAAAAAUAAGAAAAUUUAAGAUGAGGCAACUUCUUGAGAGCAAGAUAUAUAAAUUGUAGAAGUCUUUCUCAAAGGAACUGGUAGGAGUCCCCUUGCUUGAGAUAUUUAAGGCUACACUAUGUACUCAAAAAUACAUUUUAGAUGACAGCCCUUCACUGGCAGAGCACAGACCAUGGGCUAUCAAACUUUUUCAUAGUGUGGUUCACAUUUCAACAGAGAGAUAGGGAUAGCUUCAUGGAUACCUCCUCCCCCAUAAGGUUACCUCACAAAUUGCUUAUAUGGAAAAAUUAUAUUAGAAAAGUAAUGCACCUUUAUCUGUCAUUUAAUGAUAUUUAGCAGCCAAAACAUGGAGAAGAGACAGCACUGCAUGAUCAACCAGGUCUCUGUGGACCACAGGCCACAGUUUGACAACUAGAUGACUGUGACCAUCUGUACCCCAUAUUCACUCCUUGCACACUAUUGUAAAUAUGCCAUGUGAGGUAUCACUGGAAAAAAACUCUCUGGUCAAUAUUGUCCUAAUAAAAUGAAUGUGGCAACAUUGUAUGUAAAGCUGUAAGAUUCCACUGUGUGGUGUUACUACGACCAUGUCUACACUACUGCCUGUGUUGACAAAACGUUUGUCUCCCAGGAUGACAUAAGUUACACCAACAUAAGUGCUGGUAUGCACAGUGCUCUGUUAGCAGGAGAGCUUCUCCCACUGACAUAGCUUAUGCUGAUUGCAAGGGUAGUUUGAGCUCUCUCCCAUCAGCAUAGAGCGUCUUCACCACACGUGCUUCAGUAGCGCAGCUGUACCAGUACAGCUGUGUCACUGCAGUAUGUGUAGACAUGGCCUAAGACAUACUCAAAGCCUGGGGAGUGGUCAAACCAGUUCCUCAGAGUCAAGAGACAAGCUAAUGCCCCAGCCAGGUGUAAACAGGUCAAAUGGGAUAUCAGCUGCUAAGUGGCUAUUCAUUGGUAGGAAAAGGGACAUGGGCGAAAAAUCUACAUCUUAAAAAGAAACAUUUUGGGGUUCCCAUCCACACAGACAUUGCGUCUUCUGAACCUCAGCUGGAGGUGCUUCUUGAAGAAGAGAAAGAGCUAUAAUAAUGGAGAGUAGAUACCCCAAAUCAUUCCUCCCUUUCUGUCUACCUAUGGCAUCCACGACACCUGAAGAACAAAGGAAGCAGCAUUGGACUGGGGGAACACGUGGUGAGAGAGACCUUGCUUUGAAUUCAUUCUAGUUUAAGUUUUCACAGGGUCUCUGCAGAGAAACCAAGUGUCUGCUGUGGGACAGGGGUAUGGGAGGCUACAGGAGAAGGAGAACUGUGAAGAUACUCUGCACAGAUCCGGUUUCUAAAGGGAGCAUAAUCUAAAGUGCCACUAAAGAGUAACCAAGAGAAGCCUUUUUAAGAGGUUCAGUCUUCCAGGCUCUCUAUAAUGAGUAAAACGACACAAACAGACAAAGUAGGAGAGAAAGGAAUAGAAAAGUGUGUGCUACAAUCUGACAAGGCUCCAGCAAGAGAAGAAUGUCAACAAAUUGGCAAGAAUUCAGAAAGGAGCAAUAAAAAUGAUUGGAGAGAGUGACUAAUGAAAAAAUAAAACUAUAACAAUAACUUGGCCAAAUGAUGACUAUGUGAGGAGGGAGAGCGCUAUGGUAACUGUCUACAACUAUUUGGAAACUGGAAGCACCAACAAAAGAGGAGAUUUGUUUAGAGUGGUCCAAUAGGACACACAGAGGUAAUGGGAUUAAACUAACUGAAGGAACAUUUAGCAAAAUUUCCUAAUGGUGAGAUCUAGAAAAUGUGGUGGAAAUAUCUCCCAAGGGAAGCAGUGGAAACUUCAUUGUUUGAGUAAGGUACGAUAUCAUCUGGACAAAGCAGUGGAGAAUGUACAUUGGAGAACAGUUCUCACUGGCAGGGGUGGAGGACUGGACUAAAUGAUUUAACAGAUCUUUUCCAUUUCUAAUUUUUGAGACAAAAUUAACAGCUGUUCAUUAACCUGUCAGAACUAUCUCCUUGCAUAAUUCAGCUAACGAUGUUUUUUCUUCAUCCAAUCCUUUUAGUCUAUCUAUUAUAAUCUCACUUUCUGCCAGGGGCUUUAGUUCAUCUUGUAAAAAAGGCAGUCCCAGAAUAUGCACAAUCUCCAUAGAAAUUGGUUCAGAUUCUCCUCAGAGGGUUCUGCUCCAUAUAAUAUAAUAUCAUAAUAAAUAAAUAAAUAAAUAAAUAAAUAAACAAACAAACAAACAAACAACAGUGAGUUCACUUGGCUCAGAGCUUUCAGGAGAGAUUUUGCGAAGCCUGCCUCCUUCCUGGUCUCUCUCCAGCUGGGAAAAAGGCAAGGUUUAAAUAGGCCUUUAUUUCCCAGCUUGCCUUGUCUCAGCCCACAUUGUUUCCAGAGGAAACUACAUUUACCAGUGACCCUGUUCCCUUGUGCCCCGUGGAUAGCCCCACUAGGAACUACCCAGAACUAAAUUUGUCCCUCACCACCACCUUGCUUGUCAGGCUCCAGUAUUUGGCUUUUAGAACAGGGUUAACAUUACAGAUCCCAGCCUGCCUUCCGGAGACCACUUCUUCCCCCUGUUGUUUUCAAAAAGGCAAAUCUAGAGAUGGGGUAAUUCUGAUCCAAGACUAGGAGGAUUCCCUCCAAAAUCUGUAAGGGCUAGUACACCCCCUUAUAGGUAUCUUCAGUGAAAGUUAAUGUAAAUUGAACAUAGAUGCAUCAGAUUUAUAUCCCAAUUUGUCACGUGAUAACUUGACUACAUCUACACUACAGCACUUACAGUGGUGCUACUGCACUGUAGCACUUGUGGUGGAGAGGCUCUAAGCUGAUGGGAGAGAGCUCUCCCGUUGGCUUAACUCCUGCCUCUGUGUGAGGCGGUAGCUACAUCAGUGGGAGAAGCUCUCCCACUAACAUAGUGCUGUUUACACCAGUGCUUAGGUGGUAUAAUUUACGUCGCUCAGGGGCGUGGAUUAUUCACACCUCUGAGUGACAUAAAUUAUACCAAUGUCACUUGUAGUGUAGAGAAGGUCUAAGAAAGGUAAUCUUUUUUCAUUAUUGUUUUCAUCUCCAAUUAGUAUAUGUAUUUUCAAGCUUUUUGGAUUUUUUGUAAAAAUUGAAACAUCAUCAUGUCACCUAAAAUAGUUUUAUAUUAGUAUCUGGGGAAAAUUAGAUGGAGAAAUAGUUUAAAACAGAGGGGACAGGUGCUUAGCAAGCACCCAGACACAUCAUGCUUCCAGUAUCUGAGACAGCUGGCAUGACACACACAGAAGAAACAUUAACAUAUUUUUAAAAAAUUAGAAAAAUAUAGUAAAAAAAAUAUUGCCUGGUCUUUCAAGCAACAGAUGUGCAAAAUAUUACUGUUGGGAUAGAGGAUAGAAAAGCUACUUAGAAUGAGAAAUCCUGACCAAGGUUGUUGCCUCUGAGAUUAUAGUAAUAAAGUAUUAGCUCAGUAGAGAUGAGGCUGUAACAGAACACUGAAUCAGGUUUCUCUCUACCUCCCCCACAUUUCACCUUCCCCCAUUCCUUGCUGGAUCCUAAUAACUGGCUGAACCAGAACAUCCUGAAAAUUUGGCACAGUUUGGAUUCAGAUUUGAAUCUGCACCUGAAUUCCAUGACUCAAAUCCCUCUCUUGAUCUCAGUAACUUUUCCAUCCCUUGAGCAGUGUUUUUCAGCUAUUCCCCUCAGAACAAGAACUUAUUACUAAAAUAUUCGCCAGGUUUUUAAUGUGUAAAGUUGUAGAGCAGGCCUGCUGGACUAGACCUAACAAUAAAAAUAAACAAACAAACAUGCAAGUUCCCCCUCCCCUGCAAAUGUGGUCAAGUUUUGGCCUUUUUAGAAAACUGUGAUUAGCCACAGGAAACUACCAUUUAAAACUCAUAGCUAGCUUCAUUAAGUGUCCCAAAGUCAUGGGAAAUUCAAGCACCUAGUAAAUUUCCUCUGUUCUCUUUCUUUCCUCCUUCUCUUUAUCUACAUUAGCUCCUCUAAAAUAAAAAUGCAGUCAGGCCAGUUGAGCACAUUUUAAAGACUGUGUUAGCGUUUAAAACAAUAUGUCCUAUGGAGAUCUGCAACUCAAAGGAUGUUAGUGCUUACACUACUGAGGCUCAUUUAGCAAAUUCAGAAACCUUCAUUUUAAAAACCUGAUUUUGAUUUUUUAAAAUAUGUUUUUGGGAAAAUGUUUCAAAACCAGUCAUAUUUUGAAAGUACUCAGGACCCAGCAGAAAUAAAACCAUGUGCCAAAUCCUCAGAGAGCAUAAAUUAGCACGGCUCUCUUGAAGUCAAUGGAGCUAUGCUGACCUAAAUCCUUUGAGGAUUUGGCCCAAUAUUUUUAGAUAAAAUAAGCUGUAAUGAAAUGACAUCAGAGCUGAAUGAAUUACAGUAUAUAUAUGAACAUCCACUGCAUUUUCAUCUACUGAUUAAUUGAAGGACUGGAUAUUGCUGAUAUCUACUCCAAAAUGGACUACCAUUGCUUUAUUUUCCUCCUGUAAGUGUUUAAAAUGUUUGCUUUUUCAAAACUCCACUUCCGAUGACACACACGCUUUGAACGAACACGUAAGAACUGAGUUAGCACAAAUAGUUUGACCUUCUGACCCAAGUACAGGGUAUUGAAAAAUGAAGCAGCAAUGUUUGUAAAAAAAAAAACCACAAAAACUAAAAACAUACCAAAUAGGAAGAUUCCAAUUUGGAUCAAAAUAUGCCACAACUUACUCCAUCUCUUGCAAAUUCUUUAUCCUUUAAUGCCAUAAAGAAGGCAAUUAGAAAAACAGACCAUAAGAUAAAAACAAAUGUAAUGCUCUUCUAAAAAGCAAAUUGGUUAACUAUAUAUUUAUUUACACAAAGAUUUUAUUACAUUCAGCCAGGAAUGGAAAUUCUAACAGCACAGCAGGUUUACUCAAUCGCUACAUAAGGUAGGGUAGCUGAUGAAGAAAAGGCUGAAAAAGUUCAAGCCACAAGAGGAAAGGGUUUCUCAGCAAGAGGCAGGGUCAUGAACCAAAGCAAUAUAUAUGAUUAUUUUUAGUGCUAUAAAACCAUGCUGCCACACUGUGUCACAUACUUGUACUUUUACUACAUAAUGUAGCUUAAAUGAGAUCACGACACUUUAUUACAUUUAAUUUACUGUAGCUUUGUUUUAAUCACCCAUAAAAUAUACAAGUGUAUAUCAGAAUAAACCUCAAGGAACAAAUAUUUCAUCUAAAUGCCUUCACUGGAUUGAUCCUUCUUCUAGUACAGCAGAUGUAGGGAAGUGAGUUCAAACUAGACAUGUUUUUAAAAGUCCAACUAAAACCUCAUUAGUAAGGGUGAAAGUCACUUCCCGAUAUAUACUCACAUAAAGCCACACUCAUGUGAUUUUGUGCAAGCAACACCACA